rfam:Magnaporthe oryzae 70-15 chromosome 4, whole genome shotgun sequence.
GGCAACGUGCCUGAGUGGUUAAAGGGUAUGACUAGAAUCGUCACGUGAUAUCUUGACCAUCACCUGAAAAUUAUAUCAUAUGGCUUCGGCCUCACAGGUUCGAAUCCUGUCGUUGUCG